UACAGAGGUCUCAAGCGUUGUUCGGAUUCAUUGGGCGUAAAGGGUGCGUAGGCGGCGCGGUAAGUCGGGUGUGAAAUCUUGGAGCUUAACUCCGAAACUGCAUUCGAUACUGCCGUGCUCGAGGACUGGAGAGGAGACUGGAAUUUACGGUGUAGCGGUGAAAUGCGUAGAUAUCGUAAGGAAGACCAGUGGCGAAGGCGGGUCUCGUGGACAGUUCCUGACGCUGAGGCACGAAGGUCAGGGGAGCAAACGGG
rnacentral:rRNA from 1 species